rnacentral:rRNA from 1 species
CCUACGGGAGGCAGCAGUGAGGAAUAUUGGUCAAUGGGCGCGAGCCUGAACCAGCCAAGUCGCGUGAGGGAUGAAGGUUCUAUGGAUCGUAAACCUCUUUUAUAAGGGAAUAAAGUGCGGGACGUGUCCUAUUUUGUAUGUACCUUAUGAAUAAGGAUCGGCUAACUCCGUGCCAGCAGCCGCGGUAAUACGGAGGAUCCGAGCGUUAUCCGGCUUUAUUGGGUUUAAAGGGUGCGUAGGCGGGCUUUUAAGUCCGCGGUGAAAGUCUGUGGCUCAACCAUAGAAUUGCCGUUGAAACUGGGGGGCUUGAGUAUGUUAGAGGCAGGCGGAAUGCGUGGUGUAGCGGUGAAAUGCUUAGAUAUCACGCAGAACCCCGAUUGCGAAGGCAGCCUGCCAGGCCAUGACUGACGCUGAUGCACGAAAGCGUGGGGAUCGAACAGGAUUAGAUACCCGAGUAGUC